rnacentral:rRNA from 1 species
GAGUUUGAUCUUGGCUCAGCCUGAACGCUGGCGGCGUGGCUAAGACAUGCAAGUCGAACGGGGCCGUAGCAAUACGGUCCAGUGGCGGACGGGUGAGUAAAGUAUCGCUAACGUACCCCUGGGUCUGGGAUAGCCGUGGGAAACCGCGGGUAAUACCAGAUGACGUGGCCUGGUGGCAUCACCGGGACCCCAAAGGUCGCAAGGCCGCCGAGGGCGCGGGCGAUAUCGUAUCAGCUUGUUGGCGGGGUAACGGCCCACCAAGGCGAUGACGCGUAGCUGGUCUGAGAGGACGGCCAGCCACAUCGGGACUGAGACACUGCCCGGACUCCUACGGGGGGCUGCAGUACGAAUCUUCCGCAAUGCACGCAAGUGUGACGGAGCGACGCCGCGUGUGGGACGAAGUCCUUCGGGAUGUAACCACUGUCAGGGGUUACCAAGUUACUGAGGAGCCCAGAGGAAGGCACGGCUAAC